AUUGAACGCUCGCGGGAUGCUUUACACAUGCAAGUCGAACGGCAGCGCGGACUUCGGUCUGGCGGCGAGUGGCGAACGGGUGAGUAAUGUAUCGGAACGUGCCCAGUAGCGGGGGAUAACUACGCGAAAGCGUAGCUAAUACCGCAUACGCCCUACGGGGGAAAGCAGGGGAUCGUAAGACCUUGCACUAUUGGAGCGGCCGAUAUCGGAUUAGCUAGUUGGUGAGGUAACGGCUCACCAAGGCGACGAUCCGUAGCUGGUUUGAGAGGACGACCAGCCAACCCGGGAACGGGACACGGGCCCGAACCCCCAGGGGGGGAGAGGGGGGGAAAUUUUGGAAAGGGGGGGAACCCCGAACCCCGCCACCCCGGGGGGGGAAGAAGGGCCUUGGGGUUGAAAAGCCCUUUUGGAGGGAAAAAAAGGUGGGGGGCUAAACCCCCGGGGAACGGAGGGACCCGGCAAAAAAGGCCCCGGCUAACUACGG
rnacentral:rRNA from 1 species